AGGACGAACGCUGGCGGCGUGCUUAACACAUGCAAGUCGAGCGGAAAGGCCCUUCGGGGUACUCGAGCGGCGAACGGGUGAGUAACACGUGAGCAACCUCGCCCUUAGCUCCGGGAUAGCUCCGGGAAACCGGAAUUAAUACCGGAUACAACCACUUUAGACAUCUGUCGUGGUGGAAAGGAUUCCGGCUAGGGAUGGGCUCGCGGCCUAUCAGCUUGUUGGUGGGGUAACGGCCUACCAAGGCGACGACGGGUA
rnacentral:rRNA from 1 species